AACGAACGCUGGCGGCAUGCCUAACACAUGCAAGUCGAACGAGAUCUUCGGGUCUAGUGGCGCACGGGUGCGUAACGCGUGGGAAUCUGCCCUUUGGUUCGGAAUAACAGUUGGAAACGACUGCUAAUACCGGAUGAUGACGAAAGUCCAAAGAUUUAUCGCCAGAGGAUGAGCCCGCGUAGGAUUAGCUAGUUGGCGUGGUAAAGGCGCACCAAGGCGACGAUCCUUAGCUGGUCUGAGAGGAUGAUCAGCCACACUGGGACUGAGACACGGCCCAGACUCCUACGGGAGGCAGCAGUGGGGAAUAUUGGACAAUGGGCGAAAGCCUGAUCCAGCAAUGCCGCGUGAGUGAUGAGGGCCUUAGGGUUGUAAAGCUCUUUUACCCGGGAUGAUAAUGACAGUACCGGGAGAAUAAGCUCCGGCUAACUCCGUGCCAGCAGCCGCCGUAA
rnacentral:rRNA from 1 species